rnacentral:rRNA from 1 species
CGGACGGGUGAGUAAUGCUUGGGAAUCUGGCUUAUGGAGGGGGAUAACUACGGGAAACUGUAGCUAAUACCGCGUAGUAUCGAGAGAUGAAAGACUGGGACCGCAAGGCCAGUUGCCAUGAGAUGAGCCCAAGUGGGAUUAGGUAGUUGGUGGGGUAAAGGCCUACCAAGCCGACGAUCUCUAGCUGGUCUGAGAGGAUGACCAGCCACACUGGAACUGAGACACGGUCCAGACUCCUACGGGAGGCAGCAGUGGGGAAUAUUGCACAAUGGGGGGAACCCUGAUGCAGCCAUGCCGCGUGAAUGAAGAAGGCCUUCGGGUUGUAAAGUUCUUUCGGUGAUGAGGAAGGUGUUUGUUUUAAUAGAGCAAGCAAUUGACGUUAGUCACAGAAGAAGCACCGGCUAACUCCGUGCCAGCAGCCGCGGUAAUACGGAGGGUGCGAGCGUUAAUCGGAAUGACUGGGCGUAAAGGGCACGCAGGCGGUGACUUAAGUGAGAUGUGAAAGCCCCGAGCUUAACUUGGGAAUUGCAUUUCAUACUGGGUUGCUAGAGUAUUUUAGGGAGGGGUAGAAUUCCACGUGUAGCGGUGAAAUGCGUAGAGAUGUGGAGGAAUACCGAAGGCGAAGGCAGCCCCUUGGGAAAAUACUGACGCUCAUGUGCGAAAGCG